GAUGAACGCUAGCGGCAGGCCUAACACAUGCAAGUCGAGGGAGAAGCCCUUUCGGGGGCAGACACCGGCGCACGGGUGCGUAACGCGUAUGCAACCUACCUUUCACAGGGGGAUAGCCCGAAGAAAUUUGGAUUAAUACCCCAUAAUAUUAUUGGAUGGCAUCAUUUGAUAAUUAAAACUGCGGUGGUGAAAGAUGGGCAUGCGUCCUAUUAGCUAGUUGGAGUGGUAACGGCACCCCAAGGCUACGAUAGGUAGGGGUCCUGAGAGGGAGAUCCCCCACACUGGUACUGAGACAGGGACCAGACUGCUACGGGAGGGAGCAGUGAGGAAUAUUGGGCAAUGGUCGGAAGACUGAACCAGCCAUGCCGCGUGCAGGAAGAAUGCCUUAUGGGUUGUAAACUGCUUUUAUAUGGGAAGAAUAAGGUGUACGUGUACAUUGAUGACGGUACCAUAUGAAUAAGCAUCGGCUAACUCCGUG
rnacentral:rRNA from 1 species